GGGCAGCCCAACACAAGUGGGGUCCUGUAUCUAUGUCACCAUGGCCUGGAUUCCUGUCCUCUUCAUGCUCCUCUCCCAGUGUACAGGUUCCCUCUCCCAGCCAAGGCUGACUCAGCCACCAUCUCUCUCUGCCUUUCUCAGAACAACAGCCAGACUCAGCGGCAACCUGAGCAGUGGCUUCAGUGUCGGGAGUUAUAACAUAUACUGGUACCAGCAGAAGCCAGGGAGCCUUCCCAGGUAUCUCCUGUGGUUCUACUCAGACUCAGAUAAGCACCAGGGCUCGGGGGUCCCCAGCCGCUUCUCUGGCUCCAAAGAUGCCAAUGCAGGGCUUCUACUCAUCUCUGGGCUCCAGCCUGAGGACGAGGCUGACUAUUACUGUGCUAUAUACCAUAGCAGUGGCAGCAGCUAUCAUUACUCCCAAUGUCUCAGAUAA